UACGGAAUGUGCAAACGUUAUUCGGAAUCACUGGGCUUAAAGAGUCCGUAGGCGGCAUGUUAGGUGAGGUGUGAAAUCCCACGGCUCAACCGUGGAAUUGCGCUUCAAACCGGCGUGCUUGAGGAAGAUAGAGGUGGGCGGAACUGAUGGUGGAGCGGUGAAAUGCGUAGAUAUGUGGAGGAACACCGAUGGCGAAGGCAGCCCCCUGGGUUAACACUGACGCUCAUGCACGAAAGCGUGGGAGCAACAGG
rnacentral:rRNA from 1 species